UACGAAGGGGGCUAGCGUUGCUCGGAAUUACUGGGCGUAAAGGGCGCGUAGGCGGACAGUUUAGUCAGAGGUGAAAGCCCAGGGCUCAACCUUGGAAUAGCCUUUGAUACUGGCUGUCUUGAGCUCGGGAGAGGUGAGUGGAAUGCCGAGUGUAGAGGUGAAAUUCGUAGAUAUUCGGCGGAACACCAGUGGCGAAGGCGACUCACUGGCCCGAUACUGACGCUGAGGCGCGAAAAGCGUGGGGAGCAAACAGG
rnacentral:rRNA from 1 species